UACGGAGGAUGCAAGCGUUAUCCGGAAUGAUUGGGCGUAAAGCGUCCGCAGGUGGCUAUGUAAGUCUGCUGUUAAAGAGUGAGGCUCAACCUCAUAAGAGCAGUGGAAACUACAUGGCUAGAGUGCGUUCGGGGCAGAGGGAAUUCCUGGUGUAGCGGUGAAAUGCGUAGAGAUCAGGAAGAACACCGGUGGCGAAAGCGCUCUGCUAGGCCGCAACUGACACUCAUGGACGAAAGCUAGGGGAGCGAAUGG
rnacentral:rRNA from 1 species